rnacentral:lncRNA from 1 species
GAGUUCACUGAACACAAUCGAACGAGAGUACUUGCAUGGAGGUCUACUCACAUGUCAAUCAAGUAACUCUAAUGGUUGGAAUAAUGUAAGUAGUCCUUUGACCUGAGGCAUCGUCGUUGUCUUGUGGCUAAGUACUUAAUCUUUGAUUAUGUCAAAGUCAUCCCAUCCGCGGGUGUCCACGGCAUGAUUGGGGUUAAGCCACUUAGUCAUGAAGGCAAGUGUAUGCGCAACAAGGGAUCUCUAAUCUUCGAUAAGAGAGGAAGAAUACUCUAAGAUAUGAUUCGGGAAUCUUCGGCCAAAGUAUCGAGCGUAAUAAAGGAAAGCGUUCCUAUACGACUCAAUUGAAUCAUAUAAGAAGGAAUAAUCACAUUAGGGGUUUGACAUAAUAUAUCCAUACCCUAGUAAUGUGAUUGAGAGUAUUGUAUUAGAGAAGGAUUGAAUUACAUUGUAAUUCCAACUGAAUAGGUUCUCCGAAUAAACUUCUACAUUAGCUUGGGUAGCUAUGACAUAUGGUUAGAUGUCACUCAUAGCUUGUAAGUUCUUCUAGAUGAUUAAAUGUAGUCAUCAAAGAAGAAAGAUGAAUUAAAAGGAAGUUUUAAUUCACUAAGUGAUUGGAUAAAAUAUAAUCAAUUGGAUUGGUGCCAAUCACCUCACUGCCUUGCUAAUUAGAACCUAAAAGAUUG